CAUCUCUCAGCCAGGCAGCAAACGCCGCAGUAAGUCGAGGAGCCUGGGAGGAGCCACUUAAUACCUUGUUGUCUUUUGUGCGUGAAGAUUUCUUUGCUCUCAUCAACAUUUACACACGAUUACGGGGAAACAGGACUGCCGAAGCCUUAUCGGAAGUAGUUUUCAGCAUCGCAAAAGAUGUGCUAUACGCGUCCUAUGGAAUGAUGGCAGCUCGAGACAUACACGAUGGAAUGAAAGGAUAACAGUGAGGAAGGUCAGAUGGGAAGCACUGGACUCUUGACCUUCGGAAGUGAUGGCAUGAGGUUCCCAUGCGUGCAGGGGAGUCAGCACGGGCUGCGGGAUGCCCAGGGGAACCAUCACCCCGCCCGAGCUGUCCUCCAGCCCCCGUGGGUACGAGCUCACCAGCGUCCCCAUCCCCAUAGCUGUGUGAAAGAGAAAAUUAGACACUUUGCUGCCAUCAGAACUGUGAAGACCAAUGAAAUGUUCUGCAAGUUUGUAAAAAAAAGUCGUGUGUAUGCAUUGUCAUUACUAGAAGUCUUGUAACCGUCUCUGCUCUCUUCCAUUGUGGUUUGGGUUUUAUUUGUGUUUUGGGUUCCAUAACAGCCUUAGUUCCUUUCUUCUAAUCUCUUUAUGA